AGCGGCAGGCUUAAUACAUGCAAGUUGAGGGGCAGCAUGAUAUACGCGAGUAUAUUGAUGGCGACCGGCGGACGGGUGAGUAAUAGGUAGGAGACCUACCUCAGUACAGGGGGAUAGCAUAGAGAAAUCUGUGGUAAUACCCCAUGAGGUUAUAUGAAUAGAGGCAUAUAAUCAAAGCAUAAGCGAUUAUGCGGUAUGAGAGGGGCCUACUGACCAUUAGCUAGUUGGCGGGGUAAUGGCCCACCAAGGCGACGAUCCGUAGCUGGUCUGAGAGGAUGAUCAGCCACACUGGAACUGAGACACGGUCCAGACUCCUACGGGAGGCAGCAGUAGGGAAUAUUGGACAAUGGGCGCAAGCCUGAUCCAGCCAUGCCGCGUGAGUGAAGAAGGCCCUCGGGUUGUAAAGCUCUUUUGUCCGGAAAGAAAAGCGCCGGGUUAAUACCCUAGUGUCCUGACGGUACCGGAAGAAUAAGCACCGGCUAACUUCGUG
rnacentral:rRNA from 1 species